rnacentral:rRNA from 1 species
UACGACGGGUGCAAGCGUUAAUCGGAAUUACUGGGCGUAAAGCGUGCGCAGGCGGUGAUGUAAGACAGGUGUGAAAUCCCCGGGCUUAACCUGGGAACUGCAUUUGUGACUGCAUUGCUGGAGUGCGGCAGAGGGGGAUGGAAUUCCGCGUGUAGCAGUGAAAUGCGUAGAUAUGCGGAGGAACACCGAUGGCGAAGGCAAUCCCCUGGGCCUGCACUGACGCUCAUGCACGAAAGCGUGGGGAGCAAACAGG